UACAGAGGGGGCAAGCGUUGUUCGGAAUCACUGGGCGUAAAGGGCGUGUAGGCGGGAAGGAAAGUCAGAUGUGAAAUCCCUGGGCUCAACCCAGGAACUGCAUUUGAAACUCCCUUUCUUGAGUGUCGGAGAGGAAAGCGGAAUUCCUGGUGUAGAGGUGAAAUUCGUAGAUAUCAGGAGGAACACCGGUGGCGAAGGCGGCUUUCUGGACGACAACUGACGCUGAGGAGCGAAAGCAUGGGGAGCGAACAGG
rnacentral:rRNA from 1 species